AUUUUCCUUUUGCCGGCUUCUAGUUCUCGCUGUGCUGCAUUAGGUUGUUCUUGCUCUUUUCUCGCUCAGAGUUCAGCCCUCCACCCGAGCCCUUUAAUCCCUUUGUCCCCGCGGUUAUAAGGAACAGUGGCUGUGUUUAGGACCCAAUGGAUGAUGAAACUCACCAGAGACCACAUUGCUAGAGAAUGGCUAAACUCGGUUUUGAAUCUAGGCAAUCUUGACAACCACCCCGCCCCCACCCAGAGCCCUCCAGCUUAAAGAUUUAUCUCAUUGGAGUAUGUAUCAUAAUCAUCAUACUUAAAGAGAUAUUGUAGAGAAGGCUAUAAAUCACACGUCCAGAGAGCUGACCCAAGUUCUAUAGGGUCAGAAGUCCUUUCCAUACUGUGUGUCUAGAUGAUGAAAAAGAGUUACUUGCUCUGUUUGCUGAUGUUUCUCAUUGUCCUAUGUUGCUAUAGAGGGAGUGUUCAUGUGCCACCCCAAAUUCCUGUGUUGUAAUCUAAUCCCCAAUGUAAAGUGGAAUUUGGAGAUAGGGCCUUUGAAAAGUGAUUAGAUAAGAAGGUGGAGCCCUCUUGCAUGGGAUUGGUGCCCUUAGGAAAGAGACCCCAGGAGCUCCCUCACCCCUUCUGCCAUUAGAGGACACAAAGAAGACAGACAUCAGUGAACCAGGAAGCAGGCCCUCAUC